GACGAACGCUGGCGGCGUGCUUAACACAUGCAAGUCGAACGAAGUGGCGAACGGGUGAGUAAUACGUGGGUAACCUGCCCUCCUUUUUGGGAUAAGCCUUGGAAACGGGGUCUAAUACCGAAUAAAGGGGGAUGGGCUCAGGGCCUAUCAGCUUGUUGGUGGGGUGAUGGCCUACCAAGGCGGUGAUGGGUAGCCGGCCUGAGAGGGUGACCGGCCACAUUGGGACUGGGAUACGGCCCAGAGUCAUACGGGAGGCAGCAGUGGGGGAUAGUGGACAAUGGGCGAAUGCCUGAUGCAGCGACGCCGCGUGGGGGAUGAAGGCUUUCGGGUUGUAAACUUCUUUAGGCAGGGACGGUACCUGUAGAAUAAGCCACGGCUAACUACGUGCCAGCAGCCGCGGUAAUUC
rnacentral:rRNA from 1 species